UACGGAGGGUGCAAGCGUUGUCCGGAUUUAUUGGGUUUAAAGGGUGCGUAGGCGGCCCUGUAAGUCAGUGGUGAAAUACUGCAGCUUAACUGUAGCAUUGCCAUUGAUACUGUAGGGCUUGAGUACAGAUGAGGUAGGCGGAAUUGAUGGUGUAGCGGUGAAAUGCGCAGAUAUCAGGAGGAACACCGGUGGCGAAGGCGGUCUCUGGCCGUAACUGACGCUGAGGAGCGAAAGCGUGGGGGGAGCGAACAGG
rnacentral:rRNA from 1 species